CCUACGGGAGGCUGCAGUGAGGAAUAUUGGUCAAUGGACGAGAGUCUGAACCAGCCAAGUAGCGUGAAGGAUGCCUGCCCUAUGGGUUGUAAACUUCUUUUAUAUGGGAAUAAAAUGUUCCACGUGUGGGAUUUUGUAUGUACCAUAUGAAUAAGGAUCGGCUAACUCCGUGCCAGCAGCCGCGGUAAUACGUAGGUGGCAAGCGUUGUCCGGAUUUACUGGGUUUAAAGGGCGUGCAGCCGGGGAGUCAAGUCAGUUGUGAAAUCCGGCGGCUCAACCGUGGAACUGUAUUUGAAACUGUUUUUCUUGAGGACCGGAGAGGUAGUCGGAAUUCCUUGUGUAGCGGUGAAAUGCGUAGAUAUAAGGAAGAACACCGAUGGCGAAGGCAGAUGACUAGACGGCAACUGACGGUGAGGCGCGAAAGCGUGGGGAGCAAACAGGAUUAGAUACCCCGGUAGUC
rnacentral:rRNA from 1 species